CACUCUGGAAGGACUGCCAUCGACAAGAUGAGGAAGUGGGGAUGACGUCAAGUCAUCAUGGCCCUUAUGUCCAGGGCGACACACGUGCUACAAUGGCCGGCACAACGGGAAGCGAGUUCGCGAGGACGAGCGGAUCCCUUAAAGCCGGUCGCAGUUCGGAUUGAAGUCUGCAACUCGACUUCAUGAAGCUGGAAUCGCUAGUAAUCGUGGAUCAGCCAAGCCGCGGUGAAUACGUUCCCGGGCCUU
rnacentral:rRNA from 1 species